rnacentral:rRNA from 1 species
AGUAGGGCCUGCCCACUGAUUUAUUGAAGGGCCGCAGUAUCUUAACUGUGCAAAGGUAGCAUAAUCAUUAGUUUUUUAAUUGAAAGCUGGAAUGAAUGGUUUGAUGAAAAAGUAACUGUUUCAAUAUAAAUUUUUUAAAAUUUUAUUUUUAAGUUAAAAAGCUUAAAUAUCAAUAAAAGACGAGAAGACCCUAUAGAGUUUAAUUUAAACAAUUUUUUUUUAUUUAAGAAUUAAAUUUUUAAAAAUUUUAUUUUAAAUUUAAUUGGGGUGAUUAAAAAAUUAAAAAAACUUUUUUUAUAUAUUUACAUUUAUAAAUGAAUAUUUGAUCCAUAUAAAUGAUUAAAAAAAU